rnacentral:rRNA from 1 species
UCCAGACUCCUACGGGAGGCAGCAGUGGGGGAUAUUGCACAAUGGGGGAAACCCUGAUGCAGCAACGCCGCGUGAGUGAAGAAGGUCUUCGGAUUGUAAAGCUCUGUUCUUGGUGAAGAUAAUGACGGUAGCCAAGGAGAAAGCUCCGGCUAACUACGUGCCAGCAGCCGCGGUAAUACGUAGGGAGCGAGCGUUGUCCGGAAUUACUGGGUGUAAAGGGAGCGUAGGCGGGCGAGAAAGUUGAAUGUUAAAUCUACCGGCUUAACUGGUAGCUGCGUUCAAAACUUCUUGUCUUGAGUGAAGUAGAGGCAGGCGGAAUUCCUAGUGUAGCGGUGAAAUGCGUAGAUAUUAGGAGGAACACCAGUGGCGAAGGCGGCCUGCUGGGCUUUAACUGACGCUGAGGCUCGAAAGCGUGGGGAGCAAACAGGAUUAGAUACCCCCGUA